ensembl:miRNA mir-2221 miscRNA
UACAUUUAUUCUUACUGUCCUCGAAUACAAACUGGCGGUUUGCAUUCACUUACAUUUAUAAGACAAAAAUGCAAGUGAUACCAGACCGCUAGUUUGUAAAAGGGAUAAUUUUAUGUGA